UGUAACCGAAAAAAAUAUACAGGCAUUCAAUUACAUGAUUCAAAUAAUGCAUAUAUGAUGUAGAUUCAUCGAACAUCAAAGUUUGCAUAGCCAAUAUCCAUCACAAUAAACUGUAAUAUAAUUUAGCAUGCAUUCAAUAUACUGAAUGUGCCAUCCUAAUUAAGAGCGAAGAUUAAAUUGUCCGUGGUCUAGAGUCCAUUCCAGCUAAAUCUUUGGAUCCUGCUAUGAAGAAAUCAGAAAUUUAUUUAGCUCAAGUUAAUUGAAAAUAGAAAAUACUUAGUCAGGAAAAUAAAGAAACAACACAACGACUAAAUAGCAGAAAGAUAUAACCACUAUCAUGACAAUUGUAUAAUUACUAUAUUCGUGCAUGCAUGAGUAUCUUCCUGACGAAUUGUCAUGACCACAACAGCUAGCAAGCAAAUUCUUGUGCCUGUUGUACUACUCCAUCAACAAUUAGGUGCUAUGCAAAAGGAAAUGGAUAAUUUCACAAAAGAUUUUGUAGUUCAAACACAAGAAUAAUUACCUAAAUUAAUCAAACAAAAUUUCUCCAAAACAACUACAUGCUCGCACAAGUUCACAAUUUCUAAUGGUGAGAAAACUGUUCUAUUUCUGGCUUCCCUACUGUAUGUGCUUCAGCAACAAAAAGAGUAAAAUAGUGCAAGCAAGUAGAUGAUUGCACAUUAUGAAGGCCAUUUACGUAUCAAAUAUUGGCCAUGAAGACAAACCAAGCUUGUGACUUACCAUUGCUCGAAACAUUCGAGAAUUCAUUGUUACAACUUGUAUGAGCGUAUUUGGAGCAACUACAUUGUGCCUUGUACCUAGAGUCCCAGUAGUACUAGCGGUCGGUCUGUAAAAGAGAAUUUUGCAAGUUUGGAUUCCUAUUUUAUUUGCCAGUCCUUUUCUUAGGCAUCUGCAAAUAGAAGUGCACUUUUAGCAAUGCAAGUAAGCAAAUAAAUCUGACAAGUUCGCAAGCAUAUGACUAUAAUCACCUGAUGUGUUUGCGUCUGUUAGAUCACCAGCAGGAUCUUGCGUUGAAUUCAUCAUUGUGCCCUUCUGUACGUAAUAUCAUAAUUUGAGUCAAUUUCAGAAGAAAUGCGAUACUUAAAGCAGUCAUAAAAAAUAUCUAUUCAAGUCUAUACUGAAGCUGUUGUAAGCAAAAAUAAGCUAGGCUUCAAAGAUUAAAUGAAAUCAAAUUGUGUUAUAGCGUGCAGAACAAAAGCAUGCAGAACAGAAGUCUUUUAGCAUACCAUAUGUCUAUAAUUUUGAUUUAGAAAUUGAAAGCUAGGCUUCAAAGAUCAAACAGAGCAUAUAUAUGUGCACAUCAAUAAAAUGUAAUCAAGUGUAUACUAAAGCUGUGAGGCAUACACAUGACACACCAAUUAGAGCCCAUCCUGACAAGGCUACUCCCAAUACAUACACAUGCAGUAACCUAGCCCGAAUGUGGUAAGCAAACUACCAAGGUUAAAUAAGCUGAAUGUGGCAAUAUGCUUUAGUAUAGGCACAUACACAUUUAAGAAGUCCGGACAGUGGUUCUGGUAUUAGCUUGGUAAUAUUUUACAUAGUGAAAAGGAAAACUUGGGACUAUUUACACCAAAUGUGGGACACUCCAAAAUACAAAAAUAAAUUAGUCAUGGUCGUGGUUGCCAUGGCUAUGGUCACCGUGGCCAAGGCCGUGACGGCAUUGACGACAGCAGGUCGACCGUCUCUCAGCUCGGCGUGAGUGUCGCCGCCACUGCCAGCGAGGGGGCAUGUUGCAUCCCCGGGGUUGUUGCAGUGGCGGAUCCAAGAAUUCAACUUUGGGUGUUAAAAAAAUCACCCUGACAUCAACUCUUUUUUUUCGUUUCAGCCUAUGUUUGCUUUUAAAAAAUUCAUUUGUUAUUCUUUUACUAAUGGAAUCAAUUACAUCAGGAGAGUUCUAUGUACAAAGAUACAUCUCUAAAUCCAAACAGAAGCUACACAUGAAUGCAAUUUCAAAUUGGAACUUUGGAGGGGAUUGGUGAACUCUUAGCUUGCUUAGACUAGUUUAUCUGGACUGAAGCUGAGUUGAUUAAGUCACUCCGCGUACUCUCUGAAGUCUGAACUAAAACGCUGCAACGAGGAAGGAAGGGUCGUGGCCUUACUACCGCCGUGGUGCAGGGGCGCCGGAAAUGGCUGGCAGUGGUGGAUCGGAUGAAACGGAAGGAGAAGGGAGGCCCUGACUGUUCCAUGGCGGCGUCCCUGCAUCUAUCGAGCUGCAGCUGCGUGGCGAAGGAAAUCAGGGGAGGAGAUCAAAUCAAAUCGAAUAGAAAGGAUGGGCGAGGGUUGACCUUGAAGCGCAACCAUGUGUGUGCCCAUGUGGCUCUCAUGGCCUCCAUCGACGGAUAGUCGAUCUGGGAUCGGAGGAAGCAGCCUCCCUCGUUGACCUCCGUCAUGGGAUACUUGACGAAGCCCUCUUCUCAGCCAUGGGAGGAAGCUGGAUAGGGAGGAAGAGGACGCCGGUUCUGGCCGUGGCAGAUCUGACCGCCGCCCGACCCGCAUCAAUGGUACCGGCGGUUGCGGGACGCAUAGGGGUAGAUGGCCGUGGAUGGGGAGGUAGCGGCGGCCGUGGAUGGGGAGGGGGGAUCUGAAAGAGGAGGACGACGAGAUUAGGGGAGUCGGGGCGGACUAAGGGGAAGGAAGAAGACGGUGGAGAUCUACAUAGGAGUUGACUGCUUGCCGUUGGAUCACGGAAGAGUAGACGGUCUGGAUUUGCGAUCCGUGGGUUGGUUCGCUCAACCAAUCACAUCGCAAGUUCUGGCUCACGCUGGAUUGUCACAUCAGCACCAUCCAUCCAUCACGGUCCAAAUGGUGUAUAAGAACGGACCUAAUCGUUCGAAUCAUGAAGGUUAUGGUGACAGUCCCUCUUGUCUGUCAUGAUGGGUCUAUUGAUUUGGGGUGCCAUCCUCAUGUUGCUUAUAUAUGACGGAUUUUGCGACGAACCAGAUAAAUCGUCAUAAUAUGACAGUUUCUGGCAAUGUCAUCACAAUUCCAUCAUGGAUUAACAUGUUUUUUGUAGUGGGAUGACCGGAUGAGCGGUACGGGUUCGAGAGAAGGUGCGGAAACUGCCGGGGAAGAAGAACCAACGGCUGGUGCGCGCGCGGGUGCGGGUCAGUGCGUCGCUCGAGGCCGUCUGGGCCACGCUCACCGACUACAAGGGCCUCGUCGGUUUCAUCCCCGGCCAGGACGCCGCUUUCGCCCGCCUGUAGGUGCUGCGCUGCACAUCUAUAAGGAGGAGAUUUGGGAGAAAGGAAUAACCUAAGGCAGUGUUCAUUCGACGGACUCCGGUCAUUGUGGUUCGCAGUGUCAACGCCGACAUGACACCGUGAGGACGGAGGAACCCGAACAAGAGAGCUCAGAUCCAAUCUUGAUGAUUUGGUGAAGAGAAAUAAUCAAGAGUAUUUGUGAGGGGUGUUUGGCGGGGAAAUUACAAAAAAAAUUGAAGGGAGACUGAAAGCUUUAGCGGGAAGGUUAAUUAAAAAU
rnacentral:lncRNA from 1 species